CCCGGGGCUGUGAUUGAGCGCUCAGCUGGCCCGCCCCUCUCCCGGCCGCUCACCGCCCACGCAUGCAUUCAUUCAUUCAUUCAUCCAUCCAUCCGUCGCUGCAUCCACCCACCUUUCUAUCCAUCCACGUGUCCAUCCAUCUACCGGAGUUACUGCACCAGGGAUCACACAGAUGUGUCAGCCCUGGCUCGUCCCACCACUUUCUCCCGCUGGCCAGUGAGUCUGUCUGUCUCAUUCUCCUCGGCCUCCACCUCCACUUCCUCCUACUCAGGCCCCUCUGCUCUGGCAGGAGCACACCGACCACCUGUCACACUUGGGUUUUGCUGCUCAAUGAUGUCCCAAUCUCCCUUCUCCACCUACUAACCCCCAACCCUGCCCAUACUAAAGUCUCUAUACAUCCUACAGCCAAUCCUGCCCAUCAUUACAUGCCAGGUGGGCCUCGGGCACCUUUUUUCUGGCAUUCCCUGAAGCCUGGUAGCAGCCCUCCCUACCAGAAGUGAAUCCCUAAGGUCCUGGGCAGCCCCGCCCCACUCGGGGCUCCCCAUAUUUAAAAUGUCAGACUGCUUAGUCUCUGUCUUCAAUAUCUGUCUUGGGGACCAGGGUCACUCAGUCCUGAGGCUGCUGAGUGAACCAGGAGAUGCGCAUUGUGUAUACCAUUAAGGUGGCAACGGAAAAGCCCAAAUGCCCGCUGGGGAUCACCAACCUGGCUGGAAUGUCUUCCCUCCCCUCCUCAGUUUCUGAGUGAUGAGGAGGAGAAAGUCCCCCAGGUGGUUGAUGACAGCCCACACAAUCAGGUCCCCACCAACUCCUGCCCUCAGUCCCAGCCUGUUGCCCCACUCACAUUGCCCCUUGCAGUUCCUGAAUUCAGCAGGCACACUCUCACCUUAGGACCUUUGCACUUGUUGAUCCAUCUGCCUGGAAUGCUGUUCCCUACCUUCUAAUAUACCAUGUAAUUUACAUAUUUAGGUAUCUGGUAGGUAUUUUUGUCUGUUUGUUCCUUGGUGUAUCUUCCGUAUUUGGAAUGGUUCCUGGUAUACAUUCCAUAAGCACUUGUUCAAUGAAUGAGUGAGUGAAUGCAUGGAACAAUGAAGUUAAACCAAGCCCUCCUCCCAUAAGCCUGACCAAGCCCAAGUUUUCUCUUCUUUGAGCCAACAGUUCCCCUGGAUAAAAUGGGGGUGGGGUGGAGCAUGGAGAACAUCAGGGCCAGGACAUGUCGGAAGACUCACCUGAGGUCGCUCAGUGAGUACCCUUCACAGAUUCCAGGUCGCUCAGUGAGUACCCUUCACAGAUUCCAGAUUCUGGGGAUGGGUGUAGAGGGAUGGGAUGGUGGUGGGUGGCUUAUCUCAAAAAAGGGCAGAGCCUGUCAUUUGUUCCAGGGGCCUCUCUUGUUCCCUGGCUCCCUGGGGACUCCCUGGAGCUCCUGGGGCAGUGGUACGGAGGGAUCUUGAUUCAGCAGGGCUGCCAUUCACAUCUGCCAGAGGGUGAUGGAAACCCUGACCUGGCCAGGGCCCUUCCACAAGUGGUAUCAUGGAGAGUCACAAGACAGUACCCCAAGGUCAGGAUCUGACCAUCCCCUAGAGGAGAAACCCAGGCUGAGAGCCUGCAAAGAACUUGCCAAGACCACAGCAACACAAUCGGAUCCCAUCCGACUCUCAAUUUCAAGAUUCUUUGCUCACCUCCACCAAGCACAGUGCAUGGCGUGUGGCAGUGCAGCAGAAUGGAGUGGCAACCUCACAAUUCAAACCUAAGUGUGCAUGGACCCCAAAGCCUUGCUUACUCCAUCAGACCCUACUGGCAGGAUUCCAUGGGAUCAUGGUGCCAGCAACCAGCACCCAGCACCCACAAAUGUUGCUGGAACACCAGCAGAGGAGGCUGCCUGGCUGGCAGGCUUCCUGCUCCCUAGGUUCUGAUUUCACCUUUCACCAAGAGUCUGCCCCAGGGGAAUUAGGAUCCUCCCUCCUCGCUGGGAUGGUAGGGGUGCUCACAGGUUUUAAAGGGCCCAGUCCUUCCUGGUGAGGUGAGGCUGUGUUCUGGAGAACCUAGGUCUGGACAUGUCAGCCCUUUUGUUUGCCAAGCACUAUCUCAAUAGCUGCUUUCAUGCAAGUGUGUGUCCAGAUGCCAUUCCAGAGCUAAAUAGUAAACAGGAGCUGUUGACCAGAGAGGCAGGGUGGGUAGAGGGCUGGGGACUCUAAGCAGGGUCCUAGGGAAUGCAGGCAGUGGAGCCAGCCAAGGACAAGGCUCACUGACAGGCCACCAGGGACACCCAGGUGGAAACAAGGGACGGGGAGGCCCAUCAGGCCAGGCUGGUACACUAAGACCCAGAAGUCGCAUUCAAGCUCAGCCCUGGUCUGGUAAGCCUCACGCUGGAAGCCUGCAGGCCUGAGGUCAGAUGUGGGCCAGGUUUUAACAUCUAUUCCACAUGUUUAUUGAGUAGUGGGGCAGCAACUUCAAAUCUCUAUGUAUCUCCCCCCGCCCCAUCAGUCAGCCUCAUUUGAGAGACUGGAUCACUGAGGUCCAGGAAAUGCACUUGCUCCCAGUCACGUAACUUGAAGGUGGCAAAAGUAUGCAUCCAUUGGCUUGGUACAUAUUUACUGAGCACCUACUAGAUGCCAGGCUCCAUUCUAUGUGUUGAGGAUUCAGAGCAAGGAAUGAGACAAAGCUUUCAUUCUAGUCUUGACAGACAAGAAACAGAAUGAAUAAGUAAAUGAUGUAGUAUGUUACCUUAGGUGAAGCGUGCUAUGGAAAAAUAAAUAAAGCCAAGGAAGCGGGCUGGGAGCAUCUGCAGGGGCUGUUUUUCUACACUGAGUGGUCAGAGCUCAUACUUAAGAGCAUUUGAGAACACACUUGACAGACAAAGGUAGUGAGGCAUGCAGCUGUCUGGGGGCAAAGCUGUGCAGGCAGAAGGAAGAACAAGUGCAAAGACCCUGAGGCAGCAGCCAGGCUGGGAUUUUUGAGGAAUGGCCAAGAGGUUAGUGUGGCUUGAGGGGAGUGAGCAGAAAGAGAUGUGGGCAGAGAGGACGGGGGGCCACACCUACAGGGGCUUGCACACACACCAUUGUAGGGACUUUGGCUCUUAGACUGAACGAGAUGAGGCAUUUCUGCAGUGUUUUGAGCAGGGAUGGGACACGCUUUCCCUUGGGUGGUCAGAGUUUCUCCCUGUGAAGAGGGCAGAUGUGGGGCCAGGGCAGGAGCACAGAAGCCUGCAUCCUACACUAGUCCAGGUGGGCAAUGAUGAGGCCUGGCCAGGGUGGGGCCGAUGAGAAGGGGUCGGAUUUUGGAUUUAUUAUGAAGGCAGGGUUAGCAGGAUUCACUGAUGUAUCUUGCCUGAGCAACUUGCAAGAAGGAUGGAUACGGCUGCUGGGAUCUGCCAUUCAUGCUAGUGGGGCUGGUGGGAGAGCAAAUGCCUCAGGAAGGAACCCUGCCCCUCCUCAGCCUCCACUGUACCUGCUCCAACACAUUAAUGCCCUUCAUGCCAAUGUGGUAGCUUAGAAAACUGCUGAAGAGGCCCCAUUUUUAAUGACUGUACCAGGAGCUGUGCCCUGUCUGAGUCAGCAGGGGGUCAUCUACCCCAGUCACCUUCCCAGUUUCCCAGCCUUAAUAUCCCCUUUUUAUGAGCAUGUUGAUCCAGGUCUGCAGCUGCCAGCCCUCCUGCCCCCAUGGAUCCGGUUUUGUCUCCCAGACCAACUGCCCACACAUAUCUCCUUUGGUAUACGUUUAUGGAACCCACCAUGUUCCAGGCGUUGUUCAGGGCACUGUGGGACAGCAGGGAACAGAACAGGCAUCCCUGCCCACAUGGGGCUGGCAUGGUCCUUCAACAACUACAGCCCUGUUCCCUUUUCUCCCCAUCAAAACCCUCUAACGCCAAGCACUUCCUGAGCAAGCUGGGGCUACCAUGUGAAACUGAGAGCAAAACACUCGAGAAAAUGCUUUUCUUUGAAAGCAAAGAGCUUGAUAUUUUAGCUGAUGGGGGUGGAGAGCAUCGGGAGUACAGAGAUCCAAGUUCUCUUACAUUUUUGGAACAUUUUCAAAUGUUCCAAACAUUUGAAUGUCCCCUCAGUGUCCCAACUCCCCUGAUUCCAGGAUGGAGGCUAAUCUGGCCCACCCACCCCGACCCAUGCAGGUUCUGGCUGGAGUGACGGCAGAAGGCUUGCCUUGGUGGCCACCUCCCGACCAGGGGAAGCAGGGGGAGAGGGGAGAGGGAGUACAUCUCAGUCUCUGCCCUGGGCUGGGGUCUGCACAGGAAUGCUGGUGCUGGGCCAAGACCGAGGCGUCUUCUGCCUGCUUUUGAUCUGAACGACCUUUGAUCUUUUCUGUCUGUAGUUUUCCCUGUCAUCUGUGUGUCUGUCCAUCCUUCCCUACUUGACUGCAGGAGGCCAUCCCAUGAGGUCAGUGCAGCUUCAGGCUCAAACAGGGCAGAAUCCGAGUCUAAGCCCCCCUUGACCCCUGCUGUGGACCCUUCACUGGACAUGGGCUCCAGGAAGACGGCCCCCGCCUGCAGGCGUGUGACUGGGCCUCCAUGCAGCCUCCUUCUCCUGGGGCAUCCAGACUAUGGGUAUUCAUCUUCCUUCCUCAGCGCCAGCGUCUGAGUGAAGUCAAAUCUGCUGAACUUAAAAGAGGCAAGGCCCUGGGGUUCAGAGGGCCCAGGUGGGGGGCAGGAGGCUGGCUGGGGGAAAGAGAGGACAGGGCAGCUGCAAAGGAAGACAGAUUGGGGAGUGGGGAGGAUGACAGCAGAUAAAGGAGAGGGGAAAGAAGGGUAGGAGAAGAGAGAAGGAGGGUUAUAGAGCCACAGGGUUAGGCACCAGAGGGUGCCUGAGGAAAUGCACUGAGAGGCAGGCAGGGGUCUUCUCUCAGUCUCACUUGGGAAGCACUGCCCUGCUCACCCUGGCACGGUCCUGGGCACCCUUGGUUCCUGGCUACAAUGAAGCCACACACUCUGGACACGUUGGGCUGGCUGGGGUUCUCUGCCAUGGCCAUGGGAACAGCUGGGCCCAGGCCUGCUUGGUAGCAGGACUCACAGGCGCUUUCUUCUCUCUGCCCCUUGUUCCCAGGGCUCAAACUUACCCCUGGGCCAGGAAGCCACCAAGGGGCUGGGGACAGUGGUGUGGCUGAGGCCUAACCUGUCUUCUGUGCCAUACAGACUGAUCUGCAACUGCAGCCACAGACUGACCCUUAGCCAUGGCAGCAGCCACAUUCUGACUCUUGACCCUGGUCCCUGUGAUCCCUCCCCAAUCCCAGCAACAGACUGACUCCCAGCCUCUUCCACAAAUGGACUUCUGACCUCAGGCACAGGCCCCAGCCACAGACAUCUAGCCACUGCUAUAGACGGACCUCUUAGCCUGCUACAGCCUAAGCCUCAGCCCCAACGCUGGUGGGGUCCCCCAGUGGUGGGCAUCCCGUGGGCACAUUCCACCAGGCCACCCAGGGACAUCGGGAUGGGCCUGCUCCAUGCCAUCCCACCCUGAGGUUAAGUGGCAACAUCAGCCCCACCAGUGCCCCACGCUAAGCCCACGGGGCCGUGGUGACCACAACAGAGUCCAGCAGCACCACACAGGAGGCCCCUCCAUCCUGCCCUGGGCCAGCAUAUGUGGGCCAGACACAUGUGGGCCAGACACACACGUAGACACACCCAACACAAAACACACCCAGAGUCAGACAGAAUCACACAGUUACCUCAUACGCAGCCCCCAGACCCUCCAUACAAUGUGCACUCAGACACACAGGCACCACACACAUGAAAAGACACAAAACCACAUACACAUGCACACAGACACGUGUACACACACACGUACAGAACCCUGUCCCCCCCUCAGGCUGGGCACACACAUCCAGAAACAUGGGCAUAUACAUCUGUGUGUACACACACUCAUGCAAUCAUAUAGACAUACACACACAGCUACAUGCAGAGAUGUAUACACAUAUACACAUGUAUACAUAUAAAUGACACAUGCACAUGCAAGAACACGGAGAUUUCUCUAUGUAGAAGUCCACACACACCCAAGUGUCAGUCACCUGCCUUCACACAUCUUUUGUUCCCUGGCCCCAGGGCUCAUGGGUAUCUCUGGGUGGCUUAACCACCCCACAAGUGACCCCUCCAGCCACUUCCCAACUCAGCUCAGAGCUCCAUGGGCUUCUGCCCUCCCUGGACUUGAUGGCAGCAGGGAUGCUCCUUCCAGGCCUUCUCCUGGCCGCAGCUGGGUGAAGACCUCUCAAGUCCCCUGACUUUGUCCCGACUGGUGGCUACAGCUCCUGCCUGGACUCAAGCUGGCUAUGACAUGCCCUUAAGUCUUUGGCAUGACUUGGACAAUUCCCUCUCUGCUAAGGGAAACCCAUUCCCCCCGCCAUAGUUUGUCAUCUGCAAAAUGGGUAACAGUGUGUUGCACAGCCUUCCAGCACUCCUCCACUCCUGACAUAGGAGGGCACGGAACGGACAACAGGAGGAGGAUGUGGAACAGAAUAUGUACGAUUCCCAGGGGCAACUUGGCCCUCUCACAGCCUCCAAGUUCACACCCGCAAAGGGGCGAGGAUCGGAUCGGGCACAGCCUCUCUGGGGCCAGAAUGAGUCCAGGGGAAACUUUGAAUGGAAAGCCCUUUCCGGGGGGCAUCUGAAUCUGUGGAGAUCACUCCUGGAAGGAUGGAGAAGAAACUGCUGGAAGGUCAGGAGCGGGAGGGACACUUGCUGCUGUGCUAUCUGAAUUUCUACCAUGUGAAUGGAAGGGGCCGGGGGAGGCAGAGGCAGAGGAAAGACGCCAAUGACCACACCACUCCUCGCACUUCUCCUCCCGGUCUGGUGUCAUCCCAGAAUGCCCUGGUGGAACCCAGGUGGCUGCACCAUGGGAGGGGGUGGCAUGCAGAGCUGGAGCUAACUCUGCCAAGCACCCCACAUGGAAUCCUCUCAGCCAUCCUCUGAGGUGAGUGUCCUUAGCCCAUUUGAGAGAUGCAGACACUGAGGCUCUGCAAGCAGAAGAGAGAGGCAUGGGCCUGGGUGGAGCCCAAACCACUGCCCGGUCUCACAGCUUGUCAUGGGGCUGCUUAUUUACCUUCCACACCAGUGCCCAGCUCAGAGCAGCCCAGCACAGGGACAGUGCAGAGGAAACAGGCAGAGCCCCUGGCUUCAGAUGUCCCCUGGCUCUCCAGGAGAGGAUUGGGAAAAAUGAUGGCUCUUGGCCUCCCACAUACCUUAAGCCAGGAAAGCCAUCCCCUGCUCACCCCCAGUGCAAUUCCUGGCUUGGGCCUGUCCUGGCUGUGUGCCCCUGGGCAGUUCUACACCCUCUCUGAACCCGUUUCCAGAGCUGAGAUGAAGGACUGCAUUUCUGCUCCUGCUUACCUAACAGAGGGUGAUGUGGGUGGGAUGGGAAGCAGCAUUCUAAACUGGGAAGUCCAUGAGGUGGAAGGCGACAUUACUACCUCUCUCCCCAAGCUGAGCAAGAAAGCUCCUAGGCCGAGACAAGGAGAAUCCUCCCAAAGUCAGCACCUGCAACGAGGCAGCUUGGAGAGCAGACCUGCGGACCAGACCCUUCACCCACCACGACAAGUGGAUGGCCCGAGCUCAGCCCACAACCAGGAUUUCCUUCCAGUCCUGCUUCUGUGCCCUUCUGCAGGGGAGAGGCUGCCUGCUGCUCAGCUUCCUUAUUCGACCCACAGCACUCCCACAAUGUGUGCCAGGAGGCUCGCACCCAGCUGCUUCCCGUUACGUUUCUGAGCCUCAGGUUUUUCACCUUUAAAAUGGGGAAGAACAGCAGGGCCCGGGAUUUGCUGGUGAUAAAUAGAAAUGAGUGCAUAAACGUCACUCAGAGUUGGCCACGCCACAAGCCCUCCGUAAAUGUUAGCACUGAUGAUUAUCAUUCCCUCCUGGCCUAUGGAGAGGUUUGAGUUUUCAAUCUCCAGGAUUAGUAUCAAAUUCCAAUUUCACAGCGAUGGCCUAGACACUGAAUGUGGAAAUCCUACUUGGUUAUGCCACCAGGGCACAGGCCCACCCACGCUUUGUCCCGAGAGCUGAAUGACCACCGACACAGGCUCUGGGCUGCUGGUCCUCCAGUCUCUUCAGAACCUCCCAGUGGCCAAGGUAGGCAGGGAGAGGCCUGGGAGCCCCCUUCUGCAGACCCAGAAACUGGGGUUCAGAGAGGGAGCUGAGGAAGCAACAGGAAGACAGAUUUCACCUCCAUAUAAGGAAGAGCUUGCUAGCAGGCAGGGCUGCCCAGAAAUGGAAGGAGGGAGCUGCUCGGGAGGUGGUGAGCAACCUGCGGCUGAAGGCAUGCAAGCAGAACAGGGCAGCCUCUGGGUGGAGGCAUCGUGGGCGGCUGGGACACUCUCCAGGGGAGGGCCGCUGGGAUCUCUGGUCCUGUGACUUGACCAAGGCCAUGUGAGCAGGAAUGGAAUUCCAGAAGGUCAGAGACGCGGACCAGAGCAAGCUCCUGCUCCCAACCUCCCAAGUGAAAGCCAUGCAGCUGAAUGGAUCCACAAGAGCUGGAGAGAGAGGCUGAGCCCCUCCAAGUGGAUCCCCCAUCUCUGGCCCUAGUCACAAAGUCUUUAUGAUUUUAGAGAGAAAUGCCUACUUUUAAGUUUUAAAAAUUGAAAAGUACACAGAAAACAAACAAAAUCCAGAAUCCCCUUCACCCUAUGACAAUUACUGUGAAUAUUUCCUUACAAUCUUUUUAAAAUUUUAUUAUUUAUUUAUUUUUUGAGAUGGAGUUUUGCUCUCGUUGCCCAGGCUGCAGUACAGUAGCAAGAUCUUGGCUCACUGCAACCUCCACCUCCUGGGUUCAAGCGAUUCUCCUGCCUCAGCCUCUUGAGUAGCUGGGACUACAGGCGUGUAUCACCACGCCCAGCUAAAUUUUUGUAUUUUCAGUAGAGAUGGGGUUUUACCAUGUUGGCCAGGCUGGUCUCGAACCCCUGACCUCAGGUGAUCCGUGCACCUCGGCCUCCCAAAGUACUGGGAUUACAGGCAUGAGCCACUGCAGCUGGCCUAUUAUUAUUAUUUAGAGACAGGAUCUCACUAUAUCACCCAGGCUCUAGUCUUGAACUCCUGGGCUUAGGUGAUUCACCUGCCUUGGCCUCCCAAGCAGUGGGGACCACAGGCACCAUCACGCCCAGCUCCUUGCAAUGUUUUCUAUGUGCAUCCAAUUUUGGUUAGAAAUCUGGACAUGCCUUAAAAAAAAUUUUUUUUUUGAGGUAUAAUUCACUCACUAUAAAAUUCACCCUUUUAAAGGGGACAACUCAGGGUUUUGGUAUAUUCAUGAAGUUGUGCAACUAUCACUGCUACCUAAUUUCAGAACAUUUUCAUCCCCCUCCCAAAAAGAAACCUGUUCCCAUAGGCAGUCACCCCCCAUUUCCCCACCCCCAGCCCCUGGCAAUUGCUCACCUCCUGUCUGUCUCUCUGGAUUCGCCUGUCCUGGGCAUUUCGUAUGAAUGGAAUCAUAUGAUCUGCAGCCUUUUGCAUCUGGGCUGGUGUGUUUUUAAUGUACAAUUUUCUAAUCCUAUUUUCACAUAGCAUUAUACACAGUCACCAUUUCCAUGUUACUACCAAGUCCUUAGAAUCAGUAUCGUGUUUACUGUUUACACCAUGGAGAGGCUUGACCACAGUUUCCUCAGGUCACCCUCUGGUGACUACCCCCUUCCUGUUCAGGCCGCAUCAUCACUCAGCCAGACAAGUGCAAUAGCCCCUUCUGGGCCUCCUAGGCCCAUCCUUGCCCCACUCAGCCAUUACAACACCCAGACAGAGCCUGUUAAACCAAGUCUGAUCCUGACCCUCCCUCCCUAGGAAUCCUCCAUGGCUCCCACCUCACAUAAGACUUAAAACCAAGCUUAUACCACAGCCCACAGUCUCCUAUGCCAUUUGACCUAUGCUACCUUCUGACCUCACCUCCUCCCACUUCCCCACCCACUCCCGCUGCAGCCACACAGGCCUCUAACACACCUAGCAUAGCCCCACCUCAGGGCCUUUGCACUAGCUGCCCCUUCCACCCAAAUGUGGGCUUGGCCUUGCAGCCGCUCUCUGUUCUGGAGCCCUGCUUCCAUUUGCUUCCUAACACAUAUCACCUGAUAUAUGUUUAUUCACUGUCUUCUCCCACUAAAAUGGCAGCUCCGUCACAUGUUGUUUUAUUCGCUGAUAGAGCCCCGGCACCUAGCACAGAGUUGCAGCUCAGUGACUAUUUGGGCUGUUUCCAAUAAAAUAAGGAAUGUAAAAGAACCAAAUGCAAAAACCCAAGCGCCCCACAGCGCAGACAUUAGAAACUGGUGGUCCUCUGCCUGCGGACAUGUGUGGUUUAAACCACACUGUGCCUUUUGUUAACGGAGCCAGCAUUUGAGAAUCAGGAGAGUUCACAUAAAAAUCCAAAUUCCAGCUUCUCUUGAAAACACAUAUCUGGUCAUCAGGGCCGGACACCGCGUGACAGCCAUCAGCAGGCACUAAAGGGCUGGGCCUGGGGACAUUCCCACCCACAGGUCCCGGGAGUUGAAUGCUUUGUCCCUCCUCGGAGGCCCCAGAUGUGGUGCGCAGGAGGAGGGCUUGCCCUGGGACAGAGCCCGGGCCUCACCUCAUGCUGCUGCCUGAUAUCUGGGCCCUAAUGCCCCAAGCUACCAAUAAGGUCCCACCCACCUUUAUUCAAAGACUGGGACCUUCCCAGGGUCCCUACACUUUCUGGGAGCCCUUACAGCCACUGUUCCUUUACGUGAAACUUCAUCCUAGGUCCUCUAAGGUUUGCCUCACCUUGUACCAAGACCUGUUGAGGCCUCCAGCACAUUUGGAACAUACACAGGAGGUGUCCAUCCCGUGUACACCUCCCACUUCCCUCCAGCUCCAUCCCAGCCUCCCCAGCCCCUGGCAGUGUCCAGCAUGCCGUAGGCCCUUGGCUGCCUCUGAAAGGACUGAAUGGCAAGCACCCGCCCCCCAACUCCGGGGAGCUGGGAGGACCUGGGGGACAGGGCACACACAGGAGGGUCUGACUUGGGUCACACUCAGUGCCAAAAUGCAUGUGUUUGUCAGCUACAGUGCACCAGAUGCCUCGGGGACACAAAGAUGGAAAUCAUGGGGGACGGGUGCUCCAGGGGUGCUGCGGCAGCCAGGGCCUGUGUGUUUCUGUCGAGGAGGGACAACCCCCAGCCAGGACGUGACCAGAGUUCUUCCAGGGCCUCAGUCGCCCCACCUGCAUGCAGGGCUCCCCUAUCACCAGCCUCUCAGGCCCCAAGGCUCAGCCCCGCCUCCCUACCCUGGAGAGGUUUUCCGGGUACUGCGGCCCUGCCUUCCCAUCCAUCAGGAUUUUGCUGCAUUCCUGUGAGUCAUUCUCCAAACAAACCGUGUGAGGGAGAGAAGGGAGCAGGGGAGGGGGAGGAGGCUGGGAAACAAAUCAGCCUUACCUCCUCCCUCCCACCUGCCCCCCAUCAACACCCCCGCACAGACACAUGGGGGCCCUCAGGAGAGCUCUGGAGUACGAGGCUGGCUAGCUUAUGCCAUGAACUUGCUGUGUGACCUUGGGCAAGAAGACGGCCCUCUCUGGGCCUCUGGAAAAAAUGGCCCCAAAGGUCCCCACCUACAGAAUGCACAGGCUUCCCAGAGGGCUCUGUCUCAAAUGAGGCAGGGCCUUGUGGGAGGGGUGCCCUGGCUGUCUCCACUUUUUUACCUCAGUUUCUCCACCUCUGAAAUGAGGAGGGGGCCAGUCCUUGGGUAGCCACAAGGGGCACAUCUGCCAGGUGGGGCUGGGUGAGGCCAAGCCACCAGUGCCAGGGCCAGCAGGGCCUCCCCAGGGAGUCCUAGUCUUGGUGGCCACUGUGCUGCCAUUUCCCCAGCAACAGCCGAAAGGCCACCACUGGCAGCCUCUGACUCACAGGCCCCCAGGGCCAGGAGGGUCUCUGGGCAGCCCCCUGUACUCUGGGGUGGGGGAUGGAGCACUGCUAAAAAGGAGCAAAAACCCCUCCUCAUGGCCGCAGCUGCAACUGUGGCCGUAUAUCCACGUAGGGAUGGAUGUUGGAGGGUGGGAUGGGUACCCCGGGGUCUCCAUGGGGCUCAGCUCCCACAAGGGGUCCUGGGUAGGUGAGGGGCGUGUGCUUGGCAUGCAGGCAGCCCUUCUCCUUGAAAUGCUCUUUUUUUGUGGCUAAAGCCCCCGCUGGGUUCUGAUUCUCUGUGAAAAGCAGGCUUCUCAGUCACCUCCGCUGCUGCCACCCUGGUGCCAAGUGUAUGUGUGAAAGUGCACGUGACCAGGUGCGUGUCUGUGUGUGCUCGAGGUCUUCAGAAUCCUGACAUGAGCGUGGCCGGGGCUAGGCGAGUGGUGCAGAGUGUGUGUGUGAGGGUGUGAGAAGAGUGUGGGUGUCCAAGGGUUGACCACCCAUGGUGGGCAGGUGAGCAUGUCCGUGUACUGUGAAUGAGCGUGAGGUGCGCCGCCACAGGGCUAGCAUCUAGGAAUGUGCGCACGCCUGUCUGCUGUGCAGGUUUCCUCCUGAAGCACCAGCUCUUGGAACUGCCUCCUCCUGGGUGCUCAUUCUAUCUGGCUCCAUGAAAAACAGGUUUCCAAGAUUCUGGAAGCUGCACCCCAGGCCCGCACGGAGCUGAUCUGGGGGCCCCUUAAGGUUCAGAGGAAAGCUCCAGGCCCCGGCACAGACAGUGGCCCUGCUACAUCACUUUGGACCUAGUGCUGGGGUUCCCCCUCCCCGAGGCCCAGCAGCUCCUUGGCCCAGAGAAGGGAGCUCAGGACCAGAAUGAGGCCAGGGGCCUGGGGGCAGACCCAGGGAAGGGAAGGAAAGAGACCUAGUGGGCAGCUGCCCAGGCUGGAACUGCAAAUGCCCCACUGUGACAUGUAUUUUGGGGCAGCUGUGGAGAGGGUCAGCUUCCAGCCAGGACUGACUGUGGUCAACCCAGCAGGGAGGCCGAGGCAGGCAGGGGCCUUGGGAGCCUGGAGGGGUGGAGAAGAGAGUCGGGGUAGGAGUAUUUGGGGGCCAGCAAAGGGCUUUUCUGAGUAGAGGUGAGACCAAAGAAGAGAGACUGAGAGGAGCCCGCCUGAGUAUCGCCCCUUGAUACGGCAAACAGCAGACAGCAAACAGCAAAGCCGCAUGGCCAGAGCCCAGCCAGCUCCAGCUCUGCUCUCCCUAGGUACUCUCAGCCUCACAGCCUCCUCCUGUGGACACAGAUGCUACGCCCUCCUUGGGGUCUCUCAGCACAGUGCCCGGCACACUAGGCCCUCCAUCAGUCAUCAUUGUCAUAAUGAUGGUCCCCGGGUGGCUGCUGGAGCAUAUGGGAAAAAUCCCAGGCCGGGAGCCUGGAAUGGGCUCCUCUCCUUCCCUUCCACUCUCUGGGCCUCAGUCUUCCCAUCUGUAAAGCGGCAUGUCCUGGCCCACUCUGCAACUGAGGAUAGGAAAGGCCCGUGGUGGACUGACGAACUGUUCCCUUUGUGCCUGGAGCAGGGGUGGCAGGAGCACGGGACACAGGGUUCAACUCCAAACCCUGGCAGCUGUGAAGCUGGAAUGUUUUGGUUGUUUCCGGAUGAACUGCAGCAUUUGAGCACAAAAGGAGGAUGGGUCAGUUAUGGUGUCCACUUAUGGUGCCCAGCCUGUGACUGGGACCACAGUCUUCUAACUUCUGGACCAUUGCUCUGUCCCCCUCACCUUGUCCAGAGGCCCUCAGUCGCUAGAAAGAGAGUGAGCUGCCAGGAGUCACAGGAGGUGUACAAGGAGGGAUGUGAAAAAGUAACCCACUCACUCACUGAGUCAAGAUGCAACCCAGGGGACCCCUAAGAUUCCAUGAUUCUAGAAUGGAGUCCCUAGCCAGGCACUCUAGCACACACCUGUAGUUCCAGCUACUCAGGAAGCUAAGGUAGGAGGAUUGCUUGAGCCUAGGACUUUGAAUCCAGAUUGGGCAACAUAGUGAGACUCUGUCUCUAAGGGAAAAAAAUGUACAUAUAUAUAUAUGUGUGUGUGUGUGUGUAUAUAUAUAUAUGAGAAGAGAGGACAGGAAGGUGCAAAAGCCAAUUCCUUGCUCAUUCAAUCUAGGCUGAUUAGCACAAGUAUUGUUGGAGAAAAAAGGGCUUGCUAAGCAACCAGCUUCUCAGAGUUCAUCAAGGGGGUCUCCUCCUGGGGAGGGGGCCUGCCUCCCCUCCUGCUGCCACCUCAGGGUCAAUAUACACUUGGAGAGGACCCAGAAAAAUGGCACAGGCUGAAGCACCAUCAGAGGGUGGCAGCAGGAGGAAGGAGGAGGAGCAAGGCAGAGGCAGAGACCUGAGAGGCCUGGGGUGCCCAUUAACCCAUUCCUUGGAGAUGGUGGGUGGGGUCAGCUUGGUCGAUGUGGCUGCAGCUUCUGAGGUCUGCCAGAGCCUCCAGGAGCCUUCUACUCCCCUUCAAGCUCUGUCUGGCCCCCUCAACUCCUGAGGGAGCCUGUGAGAUAGUAAGUCAGCUUGGAGCCUGCCUCUUGCAGUCUCCAGCUCACUCAGAAUGAAAGCUAGAGUCUGGCCUGCACGGUGGCUCACACCUAUGAUCCCAGCACUUUGGGAAGCUGAGGCAGGUGGAUUGCCUGAGCUUAGGAGUUUGAGACCAGCCUGGGCAACAUGGCAAAAACCCGUCUCUACCAAAAAUACAAAAAAUUAGUAGGGCAUGGUGGCACGCAUCUGUGGUCCCAGCUACUCAGGAGGCUGAGGUGGGAGGACCACUAGAGCCUGGGAGGUGGAGGUUGCAGUGAGCUGAGAUCAUGCCACUGCACUCCAACCUGGGUGACAGAGUGAGACCCUGUCUCAAAUAAACAAACAGUCUUCCAGGAACCCUCUCCCCUCUCUCAGUCCCCUCCAGCCACAGUGGCUCCCCUGCUGUUCUUGCAACAUGGAAACACGUUCCUGCCUCAGGACCUUUGCACUGCUAUUCCCUCUGCCUGCAAUGCCCUUCCCUUUGACAUUGCAAGGUUCACUGACCUCCCUCGAGUCUUUGCUCACCUGUCACCUUCUCAGGGAGGCCUUUCCUGGCACUCCAAUUUAAAACUGCACGCAUCUCCCCCAUCCCUGAGCCCCUUCCCCACCUACUUUUUUUUCUCACUACAUCUAUCUUCUUUUUAAAAGUAUUUAGUUAUUUUCAGAGACAAGGUCUUGCUAUGUUACCCAGGCUGGAUUCAAACUCCGGGGCUCAAGCGAUCUUCCCACCUCAGCCUCCUGAGUAGCUGAGAAUACAGGUACACACCACCAUGCCCAGCUAAUUUAUGUAUUUUUUGUAGAGGCGGGGUUCUGCUAUGUAGCCCAGGCUGGCCUCGAACUCCUGAACUCAAGCGAUCUGCCUGCCUCAGCCUCCUGAGUAGCUUAGGACUAAGGAGCAUGCCCCAGAUUGCUCGUCAUUAGCUGCCUGUCUCCCACUAAGACAGGAAGGAGCUCACCAGGGCAGAGAUCGCUGUCUGUCUGCUCACCCAUGGGCACCUAGGGCAGAGCCCAGCUCACAGUAGGAUCUCAAUAACUGUGUUUCAAAUGCAUGGAUUAAAACAUUCCUGUUACACAAGACCAGCAUUCCAAUGGUGGAAUCUUUAAAAACUUUUCCCCUGUGGGAGUUUCAAUUCUUUUUUUCCCCUGAGCCCACACAGAGAAGAAAUGUGUGCUUCCCGGCUCCCAGGGCAGGCCCCACCCUCAAACCAAUGGUUUGUCUAUGGGCAGGAGGGGUGAUUCUCACUUCAAUGUCCUGUCCAUUCACCACCCUACAUCCUGGACAUCUCCCCUGGAUGCCGCUCGGGUGCCCCAACUCUACUCUGAUCCCUCAAACUUUCCCCGUCACUGCACAGGGCCACCCCCAUCCAGUCCCCGGCUCCCUCUGGCUGCUGGUGCAGCUCACAACCACUGGCCAUCCAGCCCUGGGCUUUCCCUGGCCCUGCUCUUCCUCUUCAGACCCAUGCCAGCCCUUGUCCACCUGGAUCCUUGGCCCAGCUGCCUACCUGGUCUUCCUCCCUUCAGCAGCUGGCCUCUUGUUUCACCUAUGCAUGCCCUCUCAUCAUUCAGUGCAGAGCACUGCACACCCCAUGACCCAGGGACCAAAGUCCCCCUCCAGCUUGGCCACUACACGGUCCCAUCCCUGCUGGCCGGACCCAACUGCCUAGUGCUUCCUGUUACCUGUAGGCCUUUCUCCAGCAGACCCACUCCCCCAAGUGCCAUUCCUUCCCUCGCCCCAGCUCUGCAAAUCUGACGCCCCACCCCAAGCAUCCCAUAGGGCUGCUGACCUCUGGGCAAGCACCGUGGCUCUGCAGAAUGAUCCAUAGCUCCCUGCUGGCCUGUGCGCUACCUCAGGGCCUAUGAAACAGGUGGUCAAGUGGCGUUUGGUUUUUGUUGCCUUUUUUUUUUUUUUUUUUUUUUUUUGAGACAGAGUCUCGCUCUGUUGCCAGGCUGGAGUGCAGUGGUGCGAUCUCAACUCACUGCAACUUCUGCCUCCCGGAUUCAGGAGAUUCUCCUGCCUCAGCCUCCCGAGUAGCUGGGACUACAGGCACGCGCCACCAUGCCCAGCUAAUUUUUGUAUUUUUAGUAGAGAGGGGGUUUCACCAUGUUGGCCAGGAUGGUCUCCAUCUCUUGACCUCGUGAUCUGCCCACCUCGGCCUCUCAAAGUGCUGGGAUUACAGGCGUGAGCCACCGUGCCCAGCCUUUUUGUUUGUUUUUUGAGAGAGGGAGUCUUGCACUGUCGCCCAGGCCAGAGUAGAGUGGUGCGAUCUCAGCUCACUGCAACCUCUGCCCGCUGGGUAUAAGCGAUUCUCCUGCCUCAGCCUUGCAAGUAGCUGGGACUGCAAGUGUGUGCUACCACACCUGGCUCGUUUUUGUUUUUGUUUUUGUUUUUGUUUUUUGAGACGGAGUUUCGUUCUUGUUGCCCAGGCUGGAGUGCAAUGGCACGAUCUCAGCUCACCGAAUUUUUGUAUUUUUUAGUAGAGAUGGGGUUUCACUAUAUGAUGGCCAGGCUGGUCUCAAACUCCUGACCUCAGGUGAUCUGCCUGCCUUGGGCUCCCAGAGUGCUCGGAUUACAGGCGUGACCCACUGCACCCAGCCAAGAAAUGUUUUUGAAGGAAUAAAUGAUGUAAAGAAAUUGGUGAUAAAGCAAACAAAUGAGUGAGAAAAUGAGUCAAACAAUUAUAGAAACAGAUUGGUAAUAAAGUUCUAUUUUUUGACGGGUCUCCUCCAUGGCUGUUGUUCUCCUGGAUGGACCCCUGGCCGGGGGACAGGCUUGAGUGAUGAUGAUGAUGAUGAUGAAGAAUCAGUCAGGAUGUGCUAGCCAUGUUGCUGUAACAAAACUCUCAAAUCUCAAGGGCUCACAACAACAAAAGUUGGUUUAUCCUUCACACUACCAUCCACUGGGGUAGCAGGGAGGCUCCCUCUCACUGAGCAGUUGCCACCUUGACUUUGGUCUACCAGAGGAAAGUGAGUUCUGUGGAUCCUCAUGGCCAUGAAAGGCUCUGGCCUAGAAGGGACAUGUCACUUCUGCUCACACCUCACGGGCCAUAACUGGUCACAUGACCCUCCCCCGGCCCCCCCACCCAAAAACCACCAGGAAGCACAAUUUCCCCACGGGCUUGGGAGGGUGGGGAACUGGAAACUUUGGCCAACAUCUCUAAGGACAUCUCAAACACCACCACCAAUAACAACACAAGCAGCAGAGGCCACGUAUUAGCUCCUCCCAUGCCCUGGACACCAGGCGAAGGACCUGAAGUGGGAGUUUCACUUACUACUCAUGGUAACGUCCUGAUGUCAGGACUAUGCAUAUCCUGCGUUCCAGAUGAGAGUUAAAGGCUACACAGAAAAGGGACUCACCAAGGUCACAGAGCUCAUGAGGAUGGAGUUGAGAUCGGAACUCCUGUCUGUGUGUGCCAGGCCUUUACACACCCCACUGCCCGGCACGGGUGCCUGGGGAGGCUGGCUGGUGGUUAAGGACUGCCCUGGGGAGACAAAGAGCCCCCCACAUGGAGGGCCAUUCUGACCACCCCACCACAAAGAGCCCCCUCACACUGCCAUGUUGUCCACUUUCAGGCGUCCAAUGCUAGAACCCCUGGAGAUGAUGUGGCCAGUCCCAGAUUCUGCUGAGAAAGAGACAGGCCCAGAGGGAGCAGUGCUGGAGCCAAGGUCACACCUUGUGCAGGGCUGAAACGAGACUUCAAGUCUUUGUCCACCAUGGUCUGAGUGUCCCCAGCUGCCUCAACAGCACUGGGUGUCCAGGGACAGCCUCUGCCUCAGGAAGGCCCCUCAGAAGCAAGGGUGAGCACACGCACUCCACUUUCCUGGCAAGCCAGGCAAGGGCACAAUGGUCCACCAUGGCAGAGUCCCCAGGCCCUGGCCCAUCAAGCCUGCCGCCCUGACUGCUUGGGCCACCCCCCGAGGAGCCGGGCUGCCCUGGUGCACAGUGGCUCACUGCUCCCACGGUCAGUCCCCAAUAGGGAGACCCGAGAAGCCUGGAGUGAGGGAAGACCAUGCUCUAAGGCUCCCCAGCCAGGACCUCUGAAGACAAGGACUUGGGCCCUCUGGGAAGCCAGACGAAGGUUCUGGGCAGAGUGGAAUGGAACAAAAGAAAAGGGGUUGGUGGAGUUUGAAAACAGUCCCAGCUAGGCAUGAAGGCUCAUGCCUGUAAUCUUAGCACUUUGGGAGGCCAAGGCGGAAGGAUCGUUUGAGCUCAGGAGAUCGAGGCUACAGUGAUUUAUGAUCAUACCACUGCACUCCAGCCUCGGCAAACAGAGCAAGCCCCUGUUGCAACUAAAACAGAAACAAAAAGAAAACAGACCCAGCUCUGCUCUGUGACCUUAACCUCUAUGAGCCUCAGUUUUCACUAUGCUUGUUUUGCCCACCAAUGGCCCCCUCCCCCUGAGCCCCAGAGCCGGAGCCAACACCUUUCCAGAGCCACAGGUGGGUCCCCACCCCAAAAAGGUUAUGGGAGAACUCCUGCUCCCGACGCUACAAGAAUGCACUGCCCUCAGAGAGUCCCUUCCAAAGGUUUUUGGCCUAGGGGCUUGAUCAGAAAGCAGUCCCCACCCUGCAUGGAAACCCUCACACGCUCUAUUCCCCAGGUUUUGCUGAUGAUUCUGACUUGCAGUGCAGCCUUCCUACGUCAGCCUGGCCUCCCAGCGGGGCAGUAGGGGGCGCGGCUGUCCUCCUGACCCUGACCUGGACAGGAAGUUGGAUCCUCCCUAGCCUCCUGUGAGCCCACUCCCUGCCUGGAAGCCUUGAGUCUCCAAGUCCCCUUACAGCCGCUGUCCAACUCCUGGGGGUGGAGGUGCAGGUUGGGAGGAAGAGUGAUGGAGCCUCUCCACUGCUUCUGAGCCCUGCUCACUGCUUACUGCCCCAAUCAUCCAGUCCACAAGCAUUUAUUGAGCACUUACUACACGUAAAGUACAGUGCUAACCACUGUCAGAGAGAUGAAGUUGAAAGGCAGGGCCCCACCUCCUCACGUCUGGCAGCAGCAGCAGAUGCAUUACUGAUGCCGCACAGCUCCGCAGUUACAAACACAGGCUUUGAAGUCACACAGCCCUGGGUUUGAGGCUUAAUUUUGCCACCUCGGAGAUGAGUGACUUUGAGCUCACUCCUCACCCCGACUGGCCUCAGUGUCUGCAUCUGCAAAAUGAGAUAUUAAGAGAAGCCACCUCAUGGCUGGUGAUAAACUACUGGAUACCAAGAGUUUCACAUAGCCUGGCAGGGAGGUGCUAAACCCCUGUGAGCCUCAUUCCUUGCCUUGACCAGAGCAAGGGCAGAACCCCGAGGCAUGCCAGUAGGGACCUCCCUCUAGGUUUCUACCACCUCAUUAAUCAGUGACGACUGUCUACCCGGCUGUGAUGCCACCUGACGCUCCUGGCAGCCUGCCCAUUCACCUCCAUUUUGUCUGCAAGGACAUCUGGGGACAAGAAUGGGAGAAGGGGCAUGGAGUUGGGCAGCAGGCCCCACUGCUAUUAGCCCUGAUGGGGUCACUGCUUAUCCCCCCUUCCCAUAUACAGUAGGCUCACAAUCAUCAUCCGAGGCUUGGCCUGGUAGUGAGGAACCCAGCUGAAGAUAAUAGGCUGCAUCCUGGGAUGAGGUGGGUGGUACAAGCUUUUGUGCCAACUGAAGGGUCUGAAUUUGGUCCUCUUGGCAAUAGGGAGGCAGUGAAGGUUGCUAGGCAACAGAGGACCCUCUGCCCACCUCUCCAGCCUCAUGCCUCCACACUUUGGAGUGAGCUCAGUUUUUCUGUGGUUGUCCCUUACUCCCUCUCCCCUCAUGUCAGCCAGUGUUCUGCCCUAGCCAGGGCUGAACUCCAAUUGUUUCCCUACCUGGAAUGCUAUUCCUGCCAAUUAGCUCACACUUAUCCUUCCUUCCAGGCUGAGCUUAGAAGCCUCUCCCAGCCUUCCCAGUUUGAGCUCAAAGACUGUUCUCUGCUUCCUUUAAAUUGGUCCUUUUUCCAUUAGAGGACAAGUAUUCCUUUCGAGCGCUGCCUCCCCGACUGGAGUCCUUGGAGGGCAGAGCCCAAGUCUGACUCCCCUCUGUGCUCUCAGCAUUGCCUGACACAGGCAGGACCAGGGCUGGGUGGCCUCCCAGUGGGCACUGUGCAAUGCUUCAGGCUUUGGUCUCUGAGACGCACAAAGGGAGGAGGGAUGGGACUGGAAGGGGCAGAAAGGAGGGGCAACCAGGCAUGGUGGUGCACACCUUGUAGUCUCAGCUACUUGGGAGGCUGAGGUGGGAGGGUUGUUUGAGCCCACGGGUUGAGGGCUACAGUGAGCCAUGAUCGCACCACUGCACUCCAGCCUGGGCAACAAAGCAAGAUGCGGUCUUCAAAGAAAGAAAAAAGAGGGGCUGGGUACAAGGGGACAUGGAAGAGAGAGGGGAGGGAAAGGGGACCAUCUAAAAACUGCAUGAGCGGUCUGUCUAUUCCCUCUUCCGUUUUCCUUCCCUCUGCAAAAAGAGAAGAGUGAGAGAAGGGAAUGAGGGAGAGAGGAGGGGCAGGCGCCUAUCCCAGGAUCACUUGAUGGGGUGGGGAGGAGCACAGGGAAGUCCCACAGAGAAUACCAUUAGGUCUCAAGGUUUCCCUGAGGUUCCCAUCAGUCUCACAGCCCCCUGCCUAGGCAGAAGGCUCAGGGCAGCAGUGCAGCCCCCACAACCCCAGGGCCAUCCCCAGGGAGAUGGCAGGGGCAUGCAGAGAUAGGGCAGUCAGGCAGACUGGCCUCAGUGAAAUGUCAGUCCAGAGGGAGGACACACCCAGACAACCUUCACCAUGGGCUAGCCCACCCCUCAACAAAGGGCCCAGACCCAUCCCCAAUCCCAUCCCAGGAGGACAGGGGCUCAUCUUGUUGGAGGCGCAGGGGUGGGUUUCAGGGAGGAUGAGCGAGGAGGGAGAGGGGUCUUUGUUGCAGGCAGAGGUACCAGCUUCUAAAGACGAGGGGAGUAAGGCCGAGAUGAGGCAUCUGGGGUCUCUGCGAGGUCACAUUCAACCCUCAAGAGCGCCUGGCACGUAAUGUGCAACCACCAUUAUUAUUGUUCGUGCAGAGCAGGGUGGCACUGGGUCAGUGGCAGCAGCGGUCCCGAAGGGCCUUGAAUGCCAAGCCCAAGAUGGCCGGGGGACGGCGCGGGGGAGCACGAAGCCGGCGCGGUUGAACGCCGGGGAGCGGGCGAGCGGAUCUCCGCCGAGGCAGGGCGAUAAAUUAAUGAAACGAACGCGCCGCGCCCCGAGGACGAGAGGGGCCGGACUGCGGCCUCGGCGGACGAGGCCCGGCCUCGCGGAGGCCCCGCUGCUCUCCUCUUCUCUCCCAUCCCCUCCCCUCCCCGCCGGGCGUCGUUUUCCAGGUAAUUAAGGCCGUCCCGGCCGGCGCGCAGCUGCUUCCGCGGCCGGCCGCGCCUCAGGCCCGGGCAGGUGCAAUUAAACCCGCGCGUUCGCAGCCAUUAAGCUUUAAUGGGGCUCAUUAGCAUAAGAACGAGAAGACGCUUUGAUGGCGGCCACCCCCGCAGGGGCUGCGCGCGAACGCCGAGGGGCGGCGGGGCGCGGCCGCUGGAGCCCCGAGCCGGGAGCCGCGCCUCCAGCUCGCGGCCCGAGUCCUGCCAAGGCAGUCCCGCCUGGGGCCGGGCGACAGGAGGCGGGCCGCGGAGCUUGACCUCGUCUCAGGGGUUCCAGGCUGCGUCCGAGAGCCAGAGGUUUCACAGGGCCCAGGCCCCAAGAAUAGGUCUUUGAAGGACGAGGGAGGAGGCCCAACCUAGAGAGCAGAUGUGCUUUCCCAAAGAAGCAGCUGAGGAAACUGAGGCCUAGAGGUGCCAUGUGACACACAGCCCCGGUCUCAGCCUGCAAGUGGUUCAUUUAUUCAACAACGAUAGCAGCCAAGGCUUAUGUGAGUUUUAAGGAUUUAGCAUAAAUUUUCUCACUUAAUCUCCCCAAGAGCCCCAGGAGUAGUGGAUACUUGCUCUUGUGAUCCCAUUUUACACAAGAGGAAUCUGAGGCUUGGAGGGGGACACCCAAGGUCCCACAAGCCACAGUGAGCUUUGAACCUCGACAGUCUGGCUCCUGAGGCUGGGCUCAUAACUAGGAAGCCACACUAUCAUGUGUGACAUGACCAGGAGAGGCACAGGGUGGGGUGGAGUGGUGGGGGAUGGGACCGUGACCAGCUGGUGGGCUGGGUGGGCCAUCCUACCCGGCAGACAGUAGCCAUCUCCACCAACUGUGGCCGGGGGAAGCAGGGUAGAAUAAUCCAGAAGAAAUGUAAACUGGAAAUUGGAAAUGAAGUCACUCAACGAUUACUCACUGGCAAUUCAUUUGAUUCCCCCCCCCCCGGCCCCCCGACAAUGGAUGGGCUUUCAAAACAGGUCUGUGGUCAGGACGUGGCAGGAGGACCACCACUUUGCCAUCUCAGUCCAACAUGGAGUGCAGUGUGCCCAGCAAUUACUAGGUGUUCAGGAAACACUAGUCAAGCAAAUGAAUGAGUGAAUGCAUGAAUAAAUGCUUUUCUCUGCAAUUUUGGGGCAAAAUAGGGGACUAAUUCUUCAAUUUAAUGUUUUCCAGGCUUUCUUCGAUCCAGGUGGCUCUGUGAGAGCAAAAGGGCCCAGAGGAACUGGCAGGUGGGGCCUGAGGCAGCGGUGCUGUGCUUGGCUCCAGGCGUCCCCUGGGGCAGUGCCUCCAGCAUUCCAAAGUCAAGGAUGUUGCCGACAGAUGUCUUGAGGGCCCUGGCAGGGAGCGCAAAAAGCACUGAAGAGGAGACAUAUACUGCCUGAGUUCCACUCAGAGGUGACGGGAGCCAGAAGGAAGCCACCAGCCUCUAGGAGCCCAGAGAAGGUGGGCAGUUGCCUGAGGCCACACAGCAAGAAUCUGGGUCUCCUGAUUCCUUCAAUCCCGGCUGAGCCUUUACCCAGUGCCUGGAUCAGCCCCCAGUCUAAGCACAGGACUCCCUGUCUCCAUCAGAGAAGCUCUGCCUGGCCUCUGUCUUGGCUUGUGAUCAGCCGGCAUUCCCAUGCAUGAAUGCACGACUCAGAUCACUUGAUUCUUUGAUUAAUGUCUUUCUUCCUUUGGCCACACCUCCCUCAAGGGCAGGGAUUUUGUGUGUCCAUCCAGAUCAUGGCUGAUCUCAGUGCCUGGCACACAGUAGGCCUCCAAACAUAGAUAUCGACCAGGUGGAAGUAUUAUUACUACAGAGUCACAGCGCCAAAGAAAACUCAGUGCCUGGGGUGAGCUUUCCUACCUCCCCAAGCUCUCAUGCCCACUCACAGCUGGCUCAGGGGCUGAGAGGGGCCUCAAUGCCUCCACAGCUGAGCUGGCCUGGGGGUGCAGGCAGGGGAAGGGCUCAGCUCCCCUUCCUGUCCUGACCCUGAGGCUGGCCCACCCCCUCACCUCCGGUCUGCAAAGGUAUCUGCCCCAGGGGGGCCCUCAGCAGCCUCAUUAGGAAAGUAGUGACAGACACAUUCAAUAUAAAGGGGUGUGGGGGGAGGGGGAGACCGAGGGCUGUUACAGGGUUGUCUGCCGCUUUCCUGACUACUGGGCCAGGGCUGGGCCUAGAUGGGGGACAGAGACAACGCCCAGAAUCCAGAGUUGGGCCCCAAAGCAGGGAUUUUCCCAUCAUUCCUUGCUGUUCUUGAGUACUGGUGGGACUCAACUCUUGAGUGGCAGGAGACAAACCCCAGCCCAAUGCCCUAAGCCUGCCAUGAGCCACCCAGAAGCCCGUGUGUGAGAGCAGCCACAGGGACCUGGGCGCCUGCCCUCUGCAGCAGAAGAGGAAACUGAGGUCCAGGGAGGAGGAGCAGGGUCACCCCACAGCAGCGCACUGGAGUAGGAGCCAUGCUUUGCAUUAGGGCUAUGGCUGUGGGCCUGGACCACCUUGACCACCGAACUCCCUCUAGUCUCUGGACUGCAGGGCAGGAAGGCCCAGUUCUACUGGAAGACAGUCAGGUGUUGUCAGUGCUCACCCAGGGCCGGAUGGAAAAGCAGAUGCCCCAGCAACUCAGUCAGUGCGCAAUGCCCCACCACUGAUGAAAAGUGGGUGAGAGAGAUCCAGGUCUCACACCACAGGACAUGCACACAAACAGCUACUCGGCCACACACAGAGGUGCCCCCAACACACAAAGAACGUGUGACCUGCUGUGGAUACUGCCUGGUGUGUAAGCACCCAUACCCUCAGCUCAUUUCCCCAAAUCAGACACACACACAACCACACGUUGGUCCCAGUGACAAACAGACACACAAGCCACCUAACAGCAACCCCCUGCCAUGUACACAAACCCCAACUCACUUUUUACACACACACAAUCCCCAAGCUCAGGAACACACGCAAACCCAUCUUGUCAUUUGGUUAAAUUCCACACCCAGGUAACACCCAGACCACAAGAGCAAAUCCAGAUAAAUAAAUCAUGUUCAGCACAUCAA